GAGGAGCUUGCUUGCUCCGGAUGAGUUGCGAACGGGUGAGUAACGCGUAGGUAACCUGCCUGGUAGCGGGGGAUAACUAUUGGAAACGAUAGCUAAUACCGCAUAACAGUAGAUAUUGCAUGAUAUCUGCUUGAAAGGUGCAAUUGCAUCACUACCAGAUGGACCUGCGUUGUAUUAGCUAGUUGGUGAGGUAACGGCUCACCAAGGCAACGAUACAUAGCCGACCUGAGAGGGUGAUCGGCCACACUGGGACUGAGACACGGCCCAGACUCCUACGGGAGGCAGCAGUAGGGAAUCUUCGGCAAUGGACGGAAGUCUGACCGAGCAACGCCGCGUGAGUGAAGAAGGUUUUCGGAUCGUAAAGCUCUGUUGUAAGAGAAGAACGAGUGUGAGAGUGGAAAGUUCACACUGUGACGGUAUCUUACCAGAAAGGGACGGCUAACUACGUGCCAGCAGCCGCGGUAAUACGUAGGUCCCGAGCGUUGUCCAGAUUUAUUGGGCGUAAAGCGAGCGCAGGCGGUUAGAUAAGUCUGAAGUUAAAGGCUGUGGCUUAACCAUAGUACGCUUUGGAAACUGUUUAACUUGAGUGCAAGAG
rnacentral:rRNA from 1 species